rnacentral:rRNA from 1 species
UACAGAACGCCCGGGCUUCGGCCUGGUUAUUCAUAACCCUUUGUUGUCCGACUCUGUUGCCUCCGGGGCGACCCUGCCUUCGGGCGGGGGCUCCGGGUGGACACUUCAAACUCUUGCGUAACUUUGCAGUCUGAGUAAACUUAAUUAAUAAAUUAAAACUUUUAACAACGGAUCUCUUGGUUCUGGCAUCGAUGAAGAACGCAGCGAAAUGCGAUAAGUAAUGUGAAUUGCAGAAUUCAGUGAAUCAUCGAAUCUUUGAACGCACAUUGCGCCCCCUGGUAUUCCGGGGGGCAUGCCUGUUCGAGCGUCAUUUCACCACUCAAGCCUCGCUUGGUAUUGGGCAACGCGGUCCGCCGCGUGCCUCAAAUCGUCCGGCUGGGUCUUCUGUCCCCUAAGCGUUGUGGAAACUAUUCGCUAAAGGGUGUUCGGGAGGCUACGCCGUAAAACAACCCCAUUUCUAAUGUUGACCUCAGAUCAGGUAGGGAUACCCGCUGAACUUAAGCAUAUC